rnacentral:rRNA from 1 species
GAAAGAUGGUUCUGCUAUCACUCUUGGAUGGACCUGCGGUGCAUUAGCUAGUUGGUAAGGUAACGGCUUACCAAGGCAAUGAUGCAUAGCCGAGUUGAGAGACUGAUCGGCCACAUUGGGACUGAGACACGGCCCAAACUCCUACGGGAGGCAGCAGUAGGGAAUCUUCCACAAUGGACGAAAGUCUGAUGGAGCAACGCCGCGUGAGUGAAGAAGGGUUUCGGCUCGUAAAGCUCUGUUGGUAGUGAAGAAAGAUAGAGGUAGUAACUGGCCUUUAUUUGACGGUAAUUACUUAGAAAGUCACGGCUAACUACGUGCCAGCAGCCGCGGUAAUACGUAGGUGGCAAGCGUUGUCCGGAUUUAUUGGGCGUAAAGCGAGUGCAGGCGGUUCAAUAAGUCUGAUGUGAAAGCCUUCGGCUCAACCGGAGAAUUGCAUCAGAAACUGUUGAACUUGAGUGCAGAAGAGGAGAGUGGAACUCCAUGUGUAGCGGUGGAAUGCGUAGAUAUAUGGAAGAACACCAGUGGCGAAGGCGGCUCUCUGGUCUGCAACUGACGCUGAGGCUCGAAAGCAUGGGUAGCGAACAGGAUUAGAUACCCUGGUAGU